rnacentral:rRNA from 1 species
UGGGGAAUAUUGCACAAUGGGCGCAAGCCUGAUGCAGCCAUGCCGCGUGUAUGAAGAAGGCCUUCGGGUUGUAAAGUACUUUCAGCGGGGAGGAAGGGAGUAAAGUUAAUACCUUUGCUCAUUGACGUUACCCGCAGAAGAAGCACCGGCUAACUCCGUGCCAGCAGCCGCGGUAAUACGGAGGGUGCAAGCGUUAAUCGGAAUUACUGGGCGUAAAGCGCACGCAGGCGGUUUGUUAAGUCAGAGGUGAAAUCCCCGGGCUCAACCUGGGAACUGCAUCUGAUACUGGCAAGCUUGAGUCUCGUAGAGGGGGGUAGAAUUCCAGGUGUAGCGGUGAAAUGCGUAGAGAUCUGGGGGAAUACCGGUGGCGAAGGCGGCCCCCUGGACGAAGACUGACGCUCAGGUGCGAAAGCGUGGGGAGCAAACAGG